UUUACCUACGGGACGCAGCAGUGGGGAAUAUUGCACAAUGGGGGAAACCCUGAUGCAGCAACGCCGCGUGAGUGAAGAAGUAUUUCGGUAUGUAAAGCUCUAUCAGCAGGGAAGAAAAUGACAGUACCUGACUAAGAAGCCCCGGCUAACUACGUGCCAGCAGCCGCGGUAAUACGUAGGGGGCAAGCGUUAUCCGGAUUUAUUGGGUGUAAAGGGCGUGUAGGCGGGAAAGCAA
rnacentral:rRNA from 1 species